rnacentral:misc_RNA from 1 species
UCCCCGUUGCCGAGGCAGUCUCGCUAGAAAUAUCAACUAGCGAUAAGGGUUGCGCUCGUUGCUGGACUUAACCAUACAUCUCACGACACGAGCUGACGACGGCCAUGCAUCACCUGUCACCGGUCCAGCCGAACUGACUCCUGACUUUCGUCGGGAUGCGACCGGGAUGUCAAGCCUUGGUAAGGUUCUGCGCGUAGCCUCGAAUUAAACCACACGCUCCACCGCUUGUGCGGGUCCCCGUCAAUUCCUUUGAGUUUUAGCCUUGCGGCCGUACUCCCCAGGCGGGAUGCUUAACGCGUUAGCUUCGCUACUGAUCGGGUCGAUACGCUCAACAGCUAGCAUCCAUCGUUUACGGCGUGGACUAC